UAAAUUAAUCAAGUUUCCUAUCGUUGUUAAACACUUAAGUGAAAAAUCAAUUAAAACAGUAAUUUAACGAAUCAGGCGCUGUUUGAGAGUAAAGAUGGUUCUGAAAGGUUUUGUGAUUUUAACUAUAAUUGUUGGAAUUCAAUCCUUGAAAGACACUAUGGAUUUCGAUGUGGACUACUACUUCAGUUCUCUGCGGUCUUCCGAGUCUUGUAUCUCCAAAAUGUGCCAAGUUCACUGUGGAAAUAAGAAUAGUGUUUGUAUUUCUGGAAAGUGUUACUGUACUGAGAGUCGUAAUGAUGAAAUCACAAAGGAAUCUCUCUAUUACGGACGCCCAACAGUUCGACACCAUAUCGCGCAUUUCUGUCCUAAUCUGGAAGUAGCCAGGAGUUGCAUACGAAAAUGCAUGAAAGAAGGUCUGCCAUCAUUCUGUGGCAAGGAUCAUGUAUGCUACUGCGGUCAUAAAUACAAAAAUACCGAUGUAAAUCCGGCAAUAAACGCUAAUCAAGUUCAUAAUCAGUUUAAAGAUUUGUAUACUAAGUAUUUUGGACCGGAUCUACGUAUUACGGGACGUCGAUUGGAUGAAUCGACUGAGUAUUAAAUAUCUUAUAUAUAGUGAUGUGUCCUGAAAAAUUGUAAUAUAUCAUUUUGUUCUAUCAUUAAUAGUUUUCGCAGC